CCUACGGGGGGCAGCAGUGGGGAAUAUUGGACAAUGGGGGGAACCCUGAUCCAGCCAUGCCGCGUGUGUGAAGAAGGCCCUCGGGUUGUAAAGCACUUUCAGUGAGGAAGAACGCCUGGUGGUUAAUACCCAUCAGGAAAGACAUCACUCUCAGAAGAAGCACCGGCUAACUCCGUGCCAGCAGCCGCGGUAAUACGGAGGGUGCGAGCGUUAAUCGGAAUUACUGGGCGUAAAGCGCGCGUAGGUGGCUUGAUAAGCCGGUUGUGAAAGCCCCGGGCUCAACCUGGGAACGGCAUCCGGAACUGUCAAGCUAGAGUGCAGGAGAGGAAGGUAGAAUUCCCGGUGUAGCGGUGAAAUGCGUAGAGAUCGGGAGGAAUACCAGUGGCGAAGGCGGCCUUCUGGACUGACACUGACACUGAGGUGCGAAAGCGUGGGUAGCAAACAGGAUUAGAUACCCCAGUAGUC
rnacentral:rRNA from 1 species